UACGUAGGGUGCAAGCGUUAAUCGGAAUUACUGGGCGUAAAGCGUGCGCAGGCGGUUAUGUAAGACAGAUGUGAAAUGCCCGGGCUUAACCUGGGAACUGCAUUUGUGACUGCAUGGCUAGAGUUUGGCAGAGGGGGGUAGAAUUCCACGUGUAGCAGUGAAAUGCGUAGAUAUGUGGAGGAACGACCGAUGGCGAAGGCAGCCCCCUGGGUCAAGACUGACGCUCAUGCACGAAAGCGUGGGAGCAAACAGG
rnacentral:rRNA from 1 species